UGGGGAAUAUUGGACAAUGGGCGAAAGCCUGAUCCAGCCAUGCCGCGUGUGUGAAGAAGGUCUUCGGAUUGUAAAGCACUUUAAGUUGGGAGGAAGGGCAUUAACCUAAUACGUUAGUGUUUUGACGUUACCGACAGAAUAAGCACCGGCUAACUCUGUGCCAGCAGCCGCGGUAAUACAGAGGGAGCAAGCGUUAAUCGGAAUUACUGGGCGUAAAGUGCGCGUAGGUGGUUUGUUAAGUUGGAUGUGAAAUCCCCGGGCUCAACCUGGGAACUGCAUUCAAAACUGACUGACUAGAGUAUGGUAGAGGGUGGUGGAAUUUCCUGUGUAGCGGUGAAAUGCGUAGAUAUAGGAAGGAACACCAGUGGCGAAGGCGACCACCUGGACUAAUACUGACACUGAGGUGCGAAAGCGUGGGGAGCAAACA
rnacentral:rRNA from 1 species